UUCGGAUUGUAAAACUCUUUUAUUAGGGAGAACAAACAUGUAAGUAUCAGUGCAAGUCUUGACGGUACCUGUUCAAAAGACGAGGCUAACAUGUGCCAGCAGCCGCGGUAAUACGUAGGUGGCAAGCGUUAUCCUGAAUUAUUGUUCGUAAAAAGAGCGUAGGCGGUUUUUUAAUUUUGAGUUGAAAGCCCACGGCUCAACCGUGGAGGGUCAUUUGAAACUGGAAAACUUGAGUGCAGAAGAGGAAAGAGGAAUUCCAUGUGUAGCGGUGAAAUGCGCAGAGAUAUGGAGGAACACCAGUGGUGAAGGCGACUUUUUGGUCUGUAACUGACGCUGAUGUGGGAAAGCGUGGGGAUCAAACAGGAUUAGAUACCCUGGUAGUCCACGCCGUAAACGAUGAGUGCUAAGUGUUAGGGGGUUUCCGCCCCUUAGUGCUGCAGCUAACGCAUUAAGCACUCCGCCUGGGGAGUAGGACCGCAAGGUUGAAACUCAAAGGAAUUGACGGGGACCCGCACAAGCGGUGGAGCAUGUGGUUUAAUUUGAAGCAACGCGAAGAACCUUACCAAAUCUUGACAUCCUUUGACCCUUCUAGAGAUAGAAGUUUCCCUUUUGGGGGACAAAGUGACAGGUGGUGCAUGGUUGUCGUCAGCUC
rnacentral:rRNA from 1 species